UGAUAGCUGUGAAGCGUGAGGUUGCUGCCCUGCCGAAAGACAGUGCAGGUUUUCCGUGGAGCGAAUGUCAAGAGGGUCGGGAAU
rnacentral:ncRNA from 1 species